rnacentral:rRNA from 1 species
UACGGGGGGGGCAAGCGUUGUUCGGAAUUACUGGGCGUAAAGGGCUCGUAGGCGGCCAACUAAGUCAGACGUGAAAUCCCUAGGCUUAACCUAGGAACUGCGUCGGAUACUGGAUGGCUUGAAUCCGGGAGAGGGAUGCAGAAUUCCAGGUGUAGCGGUGAAAUGCGUAGAUAUCUGGAGGAAUACCGGUGGCUAAGGCGGCUCUCUAGUACGUGACUGACGCUGAGACGCGAAAGCGUGGGGAGCGAACAGG